GACGAACGCUGGCGGCGUGCUUAACACAUGCAAGUCGAACGGUAAGGCCCUUCGGGGUACACGAGUGGCGAACGGGUGAGUAACACGUGGGUGAUCUGCCCUGCACUUCGGGAUAAGCCUGGGAAACGGGGUCUAAUACCGGAUAGGACCCUGGGAUGCAUGUCCUGGGGUGGAAAGCUUUGGCGGUGUGGGAUGGGCCCGCGGCCGAUCAGCUUGUUGGUGGGGUGAUGGCCUACCAAGGCGACGACGGGUAGCCGGCCUGAGAGGGUGACCGGCCACACUGGGACUGAGAUACGGCCCAGACUCCUACGGGAGGCAGCAGUGGGGAAUAUUGCACAAUGGGCGCAAGCCUGAUGCAGCGACGCCGCGUGAGGGAUGACGGCCUUCGGGUUGUAAACCUCUUUCAGCACCGACGAAGCGCAAGUGACGGUAGGUGCAGAAGAAGGACCGGCCAACUACGUGCCAGCCGCCGCAGUAA
rnacentral:rRNA from 1 species